rnacentral:misc_RNA from 1 species
GUAGGUGAACCUGCGGAGGGAUCAUUAACACGUUUCCAAAAACGUUUCCAACCAUCAACCCGUGAACAUAAAACAACUCCCUUUAUAGUGUGAUCGAGUGAACAAUCAUCAGGGUAGAGUUGCAAUGUGUGAAAACGCAUCGUGACUAUGACUCAUUCUAGGGAUCCUCGAGAUCUCAAUCCGCUAUAAAGUGUCUUUGCGACUACCUGGUAGUCUAUACAUAACUCUUUCGGGAGCAUGUGUAGCGUUC